UACGUAGGUGGCAAGCGUUGUCCGGAAUUAUUGGGCGUAAAGCGCACGUAGGCGGUCUGUUAUGUCGGAUGUGAAAGCCCUUGGCUCAACUGAGGAAGUGCAUCCGAAACUGGCAGGCUAGAGUAUGUAAGAGGGUCGCGGAAUUCCCGGUGUAGAGGUGAAAUUCGUAGAUAUCGGGAGGAACACCGGUGGCGAAGGCGGCGACCUGGGACAAUACUGACGCUGAGGUGCGAAAGCGUGGGGAGCAAACAGG
rnacentral:rRNA from 1 species